GACCUUGGCCAGCCCAGAAAGGGGCUCCCACAGUGCAGCGGCGGGCUGAAGGGCUCCUCAAGCGUGGCCAGAGUGGGCACCAAGGCCGAGGAGGCGCCGAGAGCGAGCAAGGGCUGUGAGGGCUGCCAGCACGCUGUCACCUCUCACUUCUAAACUGCCAGAGAAUCCCUGAGAGGAGGCUGGUCUUCCUGACAUUCUGUUCACACUAUUAAUUUGUUUUGCAAACCUUUUUAAUGGAAGGAGAAUUAUAUAAACCACCACCCUGCUCCUGUGUAUACUAUUCCACAGCAUCAGCAUCACUUGAUAACUUGUAGAAAUGCACCUUCCUCGCUGGGUGUGGUGGCUCAUGUCUAUAAUGAGGGAGGCCGAGGCAGGAGGAUGGCUUGAGCCCAGGAGGUGGAGGCUGCAGUGAGCCAUGACUCCACCACUGGACUCCAGCCUGGGCGACAGAAGGAGACCCUGCCUCUAAAAAGAAAGAAAGAAAUACACAUUUCUGGGGCCCAAUCUAGAGCGAUCGAACAUAAUUCUGGGCGUCGGGCUCAGCGCUCUGAGUUUUGACAACCCCCCUACGCCCAGCUCAUUUGAGAAUGCCGGUCUGAGAUGACUGAUUCCCAGCUUGGAACAUUUGAGUUACUGAGGUGAUUGAUUCUAAGAGUCAGCUGGAGCCAGGACUAGCAGACUGGGAAUACAUUCGUUUAACAAUGGAAUACCAUUUUCAAAUCAUCAUGCAUUUCUUUUCUGGGUGCCAUCUCCUGUGCAGGGGAGGACUGGAAAGACAGGGAAAUUCUGGUAGCCUUGGGAAGGCAGAAGGGUGGGGCUUGGCUGGCCAGGGGACGGGCGCGGAGGGGGAGGGAAGAAGAGGAGGAAGCCGCGGGGCCUCACAACCCAUCUGGUUGGAAACGUCCUGCAGUGCCGCCCGAGCCGCAGGAACCGGAGCCAAUUACAAGUUUAUAUAAUAGAGUCAGUCUCCCCGGGCCUCCCCUCUCCGCCCCACCCCUGCCGGCUUUGGGGAUGGGGGAGGAAACGCUUUCCGUGAAAUACAGGCUGGAUCUAGGACGGAGGAUGCCUUUUCUGGAUUGACAACUAGGGGCCAGUCCUGAGUGUGAGAAACUCCUGGGGUCCUGUUUUGGGAUCCGGACACCUCGGGCGCCGCGCAGGCCUCCUUGUGCCUCGGGAGCGGCCCCGCCUACGGAACGGGACCUGGAAGGGAGGUGUCCGGGUCGAGCGUUCGCGCUGCUCCCCGCCGCACGGUGUGAGCUCGCCGGGUUUAUGUAACGCCUGCCCUUCGCGGAGGACCGUGUCAUGUCCGAAUCGCGGAGGACGGAGGAGGCGGGGGCCUGGGCCGCGACGCCCGCCCACGUGACCGUCAGAUGACUGGGGUCUAAGUUUGCACGAGCUCCUUUACCGUAACGCUGAAGGCUCCUCAUCAACAUCGGCUCUUAGUCAUCCCCGAGUGACAUUUGAUAUGAGCAACAGCUCAGGACGGGGAAAUGGCAACGCGGAUGCUGAUGGAGACGAGGAACGGCUGCUGCGACCGCCUCUGAUUUGGGCUGGAACGGGAGUUUAUGCGGAGUCAAGGAAACCCACCGCGAAGGGUGCCAGGGAAGACCAGGGCACUUUUCUAGACAAAGAAUCUUAGAUUCUUUGGGGCUAGAUGCAGAGAGUCCGGGAGAAACUGUUCACCGGGUGCCAGGCAGGCGGCUGACCACGCAAGCCACGCUUCAGAUUUGUGGGUUGGUUUUAGAAGUCACAUGAGGUCUGCCUGGACGCCCCUCCCGAUCACGUCAAUUAUCUGUCACAACUUCUCUGUGCGCCCCAGGGACCAGCCCCAUGCCCCCAGCGGGGGAGUUGGUUACAGCUGCAGAAUCCCGGCCCCACCCCGCCUCCAGAGCACGAGCCUGCGCUAGAAGGAUAUCACCAGGGGAUGGGGGGGAAUGCGAGGGGGGCGGGGAGGUGGUCACGGAUGCAGAGGCUGUCCUGGCUGCUGAGGCAAAAAGCCCGUCCCAAGCCCUGCAUGGGCUCCUACUGCACUUCAGGAUUUGGGGGAAUGCAGAAUCGUGGUCUUUGAGUUUUCAUUAAUUCAAUAAAGAUUUCUCAAAAGCCUAAAUUCUAGACCCAAGACAGUGGGAAUUAAACAGGGCUGAAUAUGACGCUAUUGGCUAUACCAGGACCACGCCUGAGCAUUGCAUGCACGCUCCAGCUAUGCAUAACUUAUUUAUUUUAAAAGAAGGAAGGAAGAGAGGGAGGGAAACAAGGUGUUUCUUAAGAGUAGAGGAGGGGAGAGGCAACUUGUUGCUUUCACUGGCAACAGUUAACUCCAUAAGCAAUUUCCUCACUUAAAAGAAAAACAAAUGAAGUAGAGUGGUAGGCUUUUGAAAGGAGGAGCAGAGAGCUCCGGUGAGUGGAAACCUAGCUUUUAUUCACCUUAGGGCCUUGUUAAAACACAUUUGCCUUGAGAUAAAAGGGUUUCUUUUGGGACGAUCCCAAAAUGACUUUGCUUGAUUCAAUUAAGCAAGACCUAACGAAAGAGAAUUCCAGCUUAAGAUACGCAUCAUCUCACCAGAACAUUUUUAUCAACCCAGAAAGAAAUUCUGUCCCGCUGAGCAGUCAUUUUCCAGGACCCCCACCCCAGGCCCUGGCAACCACAGGUGUGCUUUGUGUGAAGAGAGGCUCUUCAGCUGGGACCUGAGGUGUGGACAGAAGUCAACUUGUCAGGUAGUGAGGGAAGGGAGACAACAGCGUGAACAGUAUCUAG
rnacentral:lncRNA from 10 species